rnacentral:lncRNA from 1 species
CACGGGGUCGCGGGACGCGGCUGGUUCUUUGAGUUUUCCAAACCAUACAUCAUUGUCAAGCGAGAAGAUUAAACUUAUUGUUUCUUUCUUGAACCCGCAACUCAAGGACCGGUGA